rnacentral:rRNA from 1 species
GAUGAACGCUGGCGGCGUGCCUAACACAUGCAAGUCGAACGGAAAGACGAUAAGCUUUUGCUCUUACCGGUAGCGGGUGGCGGAUGGGUAACGAGUGCAUCACAAACUUAUUAUUCGGGGAGGAUAACGUAAGGACACUUACACUACUACAGAAUAUAUUGUACGGGUGGAAGCAAUGGAUCUUCGCAGCUUUCGCGUUUGAAUUAGCCGAUGUCGGAUUAGCUAGUUGGCUGGGUAAAGGCCUACCAAGGCAACGAUCCGUAGCUGGCCUGAGAGGAUGAUCGGCCACACUGGAACUGAGACACGGUCCAGACUCCUACGGGAGGCAGCAGUGGGGAAUAUUGGGCAAUGGGCGAAAGCCUGACCCAGCCACGCCGCGUGAGUGAUGAAGGCCUUCGGGUUGUAAAGCCCUUUUGUUGGGGAAGAACAGCUGUGGGAGUAUACCUGGCCGUUCUGACGGUACCCAAUCAAAAAGCACCGGCUAACUACGUG